UUGAACGCUGGCGGCAGGCCUAGCACAUGCAAGUCGAACGGUAACAGGAAGCAGCUUGCUGCUUUGCUGACGAGUGGCGGACGGGUGAGUAAUGUCUGGGAAACUGCCUGAUGGAGGGGGAUAACUACUGGAAACGGUAGCUAAUACCGCAUAACGUCGCAAGACCAAAGAGGGGGACCUUCGGGCCUCUUGCCAUCGGAUGUGCCCAGAUGGGAUUAGCUUGUUGGUGGGGUAACGGCUCACCAAGGCGACGAUCCCUAGCUGGUCUGAGAGGAUGACCAGCCACACUGGAACUGAGACACGGUCCAGACUCCUACGGGAGGCAGCAGUGGGGAAUAUUGCACAAUGGGCGCAAGCCUGAUGCAGCCAUGCCGCGUGUAUGAAGAAGGCCUUCGGGUUGUAAAGUACUUUCAGCGGGGAGGAAGGGAGUAAAGUUAAUACCUUUACUCAUUGACGUUACCCGCAGAAGAAGCACCGGCUAACUCCGUG
rnacentral:rRNA from 1 species